AACGAACGUUAGCGGCGCGCCUAACACAUGCAAGUCGCACGAGAAGGGGCUUCGGCCCUGGUAAAGUGGCGCACGGGUGAGUAACACGUGGGUAACGUUCCCUCGGGCGGGGGAUAACCCUUCGAAAGGAGGGCUAAUACCGCAUAAGACCACGACCUCGCGAGAGGUUGAGGCAAAAGCAGGCCUCUGCACGCAAGCUUGCACCUGAGGAUCGGCCCGCGGCCCAUCAGCUAGUUGGUAGGGUAACGGCCUACCAAGGCAAAGACGGGU
rnacentral:rRNA from 1 species